AUCACUACUUGACCUUUUGGCUAGGAUCAAGUGUGUAGUAUCUGUUCUUAUCAGUUUAAUAUCUGAUAUGUUCCCUAUGUGGGGGCCAUGUAUUAAAUAUAUGUUUAGAACAGGAAAAUGGAAGAAGAGAUUGCUCCGUCCACUCCACGCAUUGACUCGGUAUUGCAGUACCUCCGGGACCGGUGCACCUUUC